rnacentral:rRNA from 2 species
UAGGGAAUAUUGCGCAAUGGGGGAAACCCUGACGCAGCAACGCCGCGUGAAGGAUGUAGGUCUUCGGAUUGUAAACUUCUUUGAUCAGGGAAGAAAGAAAUGACGGUACCUGAAAAACAAGCCACGGCUAACUACGUGCCAGCAGCCGCGGUAAUACGUAGGUGGCAAGCGUUGUCCGGAUUUACUGGGUGUAAAGGGCGUGUAGGCGGGGAUGCAAGUCAGAUGUGAAAUCCCGCGGCUCAACCGCGGAACUGCAUCUGAAACUGCGUCUCUUGAGUGUCGGAGGGGAAAGUGGAAUUCCUAGUGUAGCGGUGAAAUGCGUAGAUAUUAGGAGGAACACCAGUGGCGAAGGCGGCUUUCUGGACUGUAACUGACGCUGAGGCACGAAAGCGUGGGGAGCAAACAGG